rnacentral:misc_RNA from 1 species
GUGAAUCAUCAAAUCUUUGAACGCAAAUUGCACUCUCCUCGGAGAGUAUGCCUGUUUGAGGGUCAGCCUAUAAAAAAUCGACAUCGUUGCUGUUUCCCGGUGGCUCUCGUCGGAAAUUGGGUCAUCUUUAAUCCUUUUGGUUUAAGCGACUUAAAAUUUUCUUUUGGUUCCAUGAACGAUGCUAAUAUCUAUUUCUUUACACGUUUAAUGUAUCGAUGUUUACUAGAUGUACCCAUCAUUUCGGAUCGCUUUCAUAA